GAAAUAGCAGCUAGCUAAACAGGAUGGAUGCGAUUAGGCAAAAACAGAAGUGGUCCGAGGAGGAAAUAAGUUGCUUUCUUGCACUCUGGUCCUCUGCAGAAGUGCAGAAUAAAUUAGAGGGAGCUUUAUGGACGAAACCGAUGUUGCAGCAAAUUCAACUCGAGAUGGCUGCAGCAGGAAUGUCGAACAGAUUAGCAAUAAAAUAAAAAAACUCAAAGAGUACCGGGGCCAAAAAAAGGACCUCGGUCGAAGCGGCAAUGGCCGGCCACGUCGAAACCCACAUUUCAACAUUCUCGACGCUGUCCUCAGCGAUAGACCGGCAUGCCAGGUGUCUAGGGCACUGAACUCGGCAACAAUUAUGCUCGAGUCAAUGGUGGAUGAUUCGCGUCAGCAAAGUUGCACUGAUCCUGAAUUGUCUGUCAUCAACGACGGUGAUGACAGCACCGAGUUACUGCCACCACUGGGCUGCAGCUCUCCCACACCAUCAUGUAGCAGCUCUGGAGAUACAUAUCCUGCAUCUUCAGAACAGGACAAACAGGGAAAAAGGAAGAGAGACAGUACUUCGGAACUGGUUCGGACACACGUUCACUGCUUGGACUCAUGAUUGCAAAUAAAUCACACCACAGUAGCACAAUUUAUUAUCAUUUACUGCAC